rnacentral:tRNA from 1 species
GCUGGUGUAGCACAGUCGGUAGUGCAGCUGAUUCGUAAUCAGCAGGUCGAAGGUUCGAGUCCUUUCACCAGCUCCA